AUACCGGGGUAUAGCCCAUGGAAACGUGGAUUAACACCCCAUAGUACUUUUAUCCUGCAUGGGAUGUGAGUUAAAUGUUCAAGGUAUCGGAUGGGCAUGCGUCCUAUUAGUUAGUUGGCGGGGUAACAGCCCACCAAGACGAUGAUAGGUAGGGGUUCUGAGAGGAAGGUCCCCCACAUUGGAACUGAGACACGGUCCAAACUCCUACGGGAGGCAGCAGUGAGGAAUAUUGGUCAAUGGACGAGAGUCUGAACCAGCCAAGUCGCGUGAGGGAAGACUGCCCUAUGGGUUGUAAACCUCUUUUAUAAGGGAAGAAUAAGUUCUACGUGUAGAAUGAUGCCUGUACCUUAUGAAUAAGCAUCGGCUAACUCCGUGCCAGCAGCCGCGGUAAUACGGAGGAUGCGAGCGUUAUCCGGAUUUAUUGGGUUUAAAGGGUGCGUAGGCGGUUUAUUAAGUUAGUGGUUAAAUAUUUGAGCUAAACUCAAUUGUGCCAUUAAUACUGGUAAACUGGAGUACAGACGAGGUAGGCGGAAUAAGUUAAGUAGCGGUGAAAUGCAUAGAUAUAACUUAGAACUCCGAUAGCGAAGGCAGCUUACCAGACUGUAACUGACGCUGAUGCACGAGAGCGUGGGUAGCGAACAGGAUUAGAUACCCUGGUAGUCCACGCCGUAAACGAUGCUCACUGGUUCUGUGCGAUAUAUUGUACGGGAUUAAGCGAAAGUAUUAAGUGAGCCACCUGGGGAGUACGUCGGCAACGAUGAAACUCAAAGGAAUUGACGGGGGCCCGCACAAGCGGAGGAACAUGUGGUUUAAUUCGAUGAUACGCGAGGAACCUUACCUGGGUUUAAAUGGGAAAUGUCGUAUUUGGAAACAGAUAUUCUCUUCGGAGCGUUUUUCAAGGUGCUGCAUGGUUGUCGUCAGCUCGUGCCGUGAGGUGUCGGGUUAAGUCCCAUAACGAGCGCAACCCUUACCGUUAGUUGCUAGCAUGUAAUGAUGAGCACUCUAACGGGACUGCCACCGUAAGGUGAGAGGAAGGCGGGGAUGACGUCAAAUCAGCACGGCCCUUACACCCAGGGCUACACACGUGUUACAAUGGCCGGUACAGAGGGCCGCUACCAGGUGACUGGAUGCCAAUCUCAAAAGCCGGUCGUAGUUCGGAUUGGAGUCUGUAACCCGA
rnacentral:rRNA from 1 species